GAGGGUAUAGCUCAACGGUACAGUGUGUGCUUAGCAUGUAAGAACUCCUGGGUUCAAUCCCCAGUACCUCUA
rnacentral:tRNA from 1 species